rnacentral:lncRNA from 1 species
CCCCUGUAACAUGGACAAAACCAACCUGAAAAAUCAUCAAAAUCUCAAAUAGACAUUUAAACCAAAAGUUUUGGAAACCACCACUUCCUCUAAUGCCACCACAACUACUACAAAAUAUAACAAAAUUCGACUGAGUGUUUCUACAACAUCAUCUUGUCAACAUGCAAGUAUUACAUCACUUACAAACCCUUCUACGAAUAUGCUUGUCACCCAAAAUUAGACAAUUACUUAAUAAACAUAAGUUCCCCAACUAUUCAUUACAUACUUAU